rnacentral:tRNA from 1 species
GGGAUAUUAGCUCAGUUGGUUUAGAGCACUACCUCGACAAGGUAGGGGUCGUAAGUUCGAAUCUUACAUGUCCCA